UGAUGUUGACAUGACAGUUACUAACACUACUACCCAUAUUGUAAUUCCACAGAACUGUGAUCAUAAGACUAUCUCAGAGUUGUCGGAGAAAAAAGAAGGAAUUGCCAUAAUUACCACAGAAUGGAUAGAUGACUGUCUGGAAAAGAAGAAACUACUCAAAACUGAUAAUUAUGAAAUCAGUUGAAAAGGGGAAACAUUCGUGGAAGAGAUUCAUAUAAACUGUGAUAUUUGAAAAGAAGGGAUUUGGGAAAGCAGUUGUUAGAUAUCCUGUUGUAGUAUUGCAGGACUAGUUACCGACUAGCUGCUUCUUAUGCAGCUGUAGUUAUGUCUUAGUGUGAUAAUCGUGAGUUUUGACGUUCAAGAGUAUAGUAUUUCAUUGAAAUGUUUAACAGUUAGUUUUUAACAGUUUGUUUAAAGGGGUGAUGUUUUUAAUAAUAGUAAUGUGUUUAUUAAUGUUAAUGUAGAACUAAAAUAUGUAAUGGAAUGAACAAGUAACGAACAUGCAUACAGCCGUCCUAUAUGUUAUUAUGUUAAUGAUUAAGUAAUUUAAGUUCUUUGUUGCUCGUUUUUAAUUGUUUGCUUUACUUAUUUACAAGUAUUACACACACAUGUCUUAAAUACAAAAUCAAACAUGAUAUCCCUAUACUGAUUUAUUAUGGCUAAGACAGUUAUUCAGUCUGGCAACAUUUUGUACGAUUUUACCCUUUUCCUAAAUGGUAUGCUACAUUUAUGCAUAUUACUGAAACAACUGCUGGAUAAGACAGUUUUAAGACGGUAUAUAGAAAGAUGUUAAUAGUUUAGUCUUCUAAUACGUGAUAUUAAUUUUUGCACAUGUUUAAUGUUGUGAGUUUAGUUACAUGUAUUGUACAGCAUGUUACAAAUAGAAUUAGAUCUACAGCAAAGAUUAACGGCUAGCGUACGGUGUACUUUGAAUAAAAGUCGUCUGUCUCUUCAACUUCUGACGAAAAAUAAAAUUAGUUAAAAUGG